ACUCGACGGGUUCGCCUUCAUGACCAAUAUUCAAGUCCUUCAUCCUACUCGCCGAGUUGUAUGAACAACUCGUCGAGUUCAUCUUCAUCCGAAGAACACUCAUGCUAAGACUCGCCGAGUUGUAUGAACAACUCGUCGAGUCUGUUCUUGAUCUAAGGAGAUUGCCUUGAACUCGCCGAGUCAGGGCAUUGACUCGCCGAGUACCUCCAUAGAUGGGUUAAGCUUCCGACUCACUGAGUCACACCCUGUGACUCACUGCUCACUCGACACUACGAAAAGGGGACAAACUCGAAGACUCGCGAGCAGACUCGCCGAGUCACAUGAACGACUCGCCGAGUCGUUGCCAUGCACUCCUAAAAUAUACCGAUUUGCUCGAUUCCAGUCCAUGCCAUUCAUAGAUCUGGACUUCUAGGACACGAAUCACACGUAAAGUUUCCAACUUUACGUGUGGAUAUUCACCAAUAUGGAUUUUAGGGCUCAAAAUGUCUCAAAAGGGUAGAUCUAGGGCUAACAAGCAACAUGGGGCCAAAAAGCUAACAGAUCUGAGCUCCUGGAGCUCAAUCUUGCCUAGAUCCAAAGGCCAAACGCCUUAUUACGACAUAUAAUGCACAUACAAACUUGGGGAAUUGACCAAGAAGGACCCAAAUGAAGUUUUAAGCAUAGAAUCAAGGGGAAAACGGGUUAUACCUCAAAGGAACUGCUGGAAGGACACAAAUAAUGCUUGGAUGGCUUCCCUUCUUCUGGAUCUACUUCCUUCCUCUUUCAAAGCCUUCAAAAACACACCCACUAACCUCAAACUCUCAAAGAAUAGCUUAGAACGAGAGAUACAGGGCUUUAAGGGUCAAUGGGGGCCGGCUUGGGGCUGAUAAGUCCUUUAAAUAGGGUGCAAACCCCUGAAACUUAGGGUUUCAUCCAACAGCUGUGACUCGCCGAGUCCAGGAUAUGGACUCGCCGAGUCACCAACUUAAACGUGUCCCGGGUCCCGCAUCCACUCGGCGAGUCGGACCUAUGACUCGCCGAGUCCAAGGCUAAAAGAAAGGAAAUACUCAAAUAACAUUUACGUACCAGGAACUGGGUGCUACAAAUCUCCCCCACUUAUUUUAGACUUCGUCCUCGAAGUCUGCUGCUCGAUCCUGAAACAGCUCGGGAUAAUGCUCCAUAAUCUCGUCCACCGGCUCCCAAGUCCAUUCCGAACCUUUGCGGUGUUUCCAUUGCACCUUCACUAGCUCCACCUUCUUGUUCCUCAAAUCCUUCGACUUCUGGUCGAGGAUUGCGACUGGGCGCUCAAUGUAAUUCAGGCUGUCAUCAACCUGAAUAUCCUCCAAAGGUACUACUGCAGAAUCGUCCACUAGGCACUUUCGUAACUUUGAAACAUGGAAAGUGCUGUGGAUCUGGCUAAGCUCGGCUGGCAGAUCCAACCUAUAUGCUACCUUGCCCACCCGGGCUACGACCCUGAACGGUCCGAUGAAUCGCGGGCCCAACUUGCCCCGCUUCCUGAAUCGGAUGACGCCUUUCCACGAAGACACCUUCAGGAGAACCAUAUCCCCAACCUGGAACUCUAAAUCGGAUCGACGCUUGUCGGCAUAACUUUUCUGCCGACUCUGAGCAGUCUGAAGCCUGCUCCGGACCUGCUGGAUCCUCUCAGUCGUCUUGAGCACCACUUCGGUGCUCCCCAUGACUCUCUGGCCAACCUCACCCCAGCAUAUCGGGGUCCUACACCUCCGUCCGUACAACAUCUCGAAGGGAGGGCGGUCGAUACUCGCGUGAUAGCUGUUGUUGUAGGAGAACUCGGCCAGGGGAAGAUAGGUAUCCCAGCUACCACCGAAAUCUAGCACGCACGCCCGCAGCAUAUCCUCCAGAGUCUGGAUGGUCCGCUCGCUCUGCCCAUCCGUCUGCGGGUGAAAGGCAGUGCUAAAAUGCAGACGAGUGCCCAACUCGUCAUGGAAUCUCUUCCAAAACCUGGAAGUAAAACGCACAUCCCUGUCCGAGAUCACCGAUACUGGCACCCCAUGCCGUGCCACAAUCUCCCUGAUAUAGAUGUCGGCCAAUUUCUCGGCCGAUAUGCUCUCCUGAAUCGGAAUAAAGUGAGCACUCUUGGUCAAUCUAUCCACGAUGACCCAAAUCGAAUCCACUCCACGUGCGGUCCUGGGAAGCUUCGUGAUAAAAUCCAUCGUGAUAUCUUCCCAUUUCCACAGUGGAAUAUCCAACGGCUGCAUCUUGCCAUGCGGUCUCUGAUGUUCGGCCUUGACCUUCCUGCAGGUCAAACAUCGCUCGACAUACCAUGCCACAUCCCGCUUCAUGCAGGGCCACCAAUAGUCUAGACGAAGAUCCCUAUACAUCUUCGUCGCCCCGGGAUGAAUAGAGAAUCGGGACUUGUGCGCCUCCUCCAUCAAAAUCUGGCGCACGCCCCCGUGAUACGGCACCCACACCCUAUGGUGUAGUGUCAAUAACCCUCGGCUAUCAUAAUCGAAGGAGGAAACCUGACCUACUACGCGCUCGUUCUUCCGAUGCUCCUCCUUGAUAGCCUCCUGUUGAGCUUCCCGAAUCUGCUCCAACAGGGGAGUCACCACAGUCAUCCUCAAACAGGCGUCCCUGAUCGGCGCCGUCUUGCGGCUAAGCGCAUCGGCCACCACAUUGGCCUUUCCCGGGUGGUAAAGGAUCUCGCAAUCAUAAUCCUUCACCACAUCCAACCACCGACGCUGCCUCAUGUUCAGAUUCGGCUGGUCCAUGAGGUACCUCAAGCUCUUGUGGUCCGUGUAGAUGGUACACCGAACCCCAUAGAGGUAAUGUCGCCAAAUCUUGAGGGCAAAUACCACCGCCCCCAACUCCAAAUCGUGCGUCGGGUAGUUCGCCUCGUGAGGCUUGAGCUGCCUCGAAGCGUAAGCAAUGACAUGCCCCCUUUGCAUCAGCACCGCGCCCAACCCAGAAAUGGACGCAUCGCAAUAAACCACGAAAUCCUCUACGCCCUCUGGCAGGGCUAAGAUCGGCGCCUCACACAAUCUCUGUCUCAGCGUCUCAAAUGCAGCCUGCUGCUCGGGUCCCCACCGAAAGACCACGGCUUUCUUCGUCAGCCGCGUCAGGGGCACGGCUAUCUUGGAGAAAUCCUGGAUAAAUCUCCGAUAGUAGCCUGCCAAUCCUAGGAAGCUCCGAAUCUCAGAUGGGGACUUCGGAACCUCCCAUCUCAUCACGGCCUCGACCUUGGCCGGAUCGACCAGAAUCCCGUUCUGGUUGACGAGGUGCCCCAGAAAUUGCACCUCGCGCAACCAAAACUCACACUUGGAGAACUUGGCAUACAAGCUCUCCCUCCUCAGGGUCUCUAACACCUCUCUCAAAUGCUCCUCAUGUUCCUCCCGGGUCUUGGAAUAAACCAAGAUAUCAUCGAUAAAGACUAUCACAGACCGGUCCAGCAUCGGUCUGCAUACACGGUUCAUGAGGUCCAUGAACGCGGCAGGAGCAUUGGUGAGCCCAAACGGCAUCACCACAAACUCGUAAUGGCCAUAGCGCGUCCGAAACGCGGUCUUCUGCAUAUCCUCCUCCCUGACCCUCAUCUGAUGAUAACCCGAACGCAAAUCAAUCUUGGAGAACCAAGAUGCGCCCUGAAGCUGGUCAAAGAGGUCAUCAAUCCUCGGAAGCGGGUAACGGUUCUUCACCGUUACCUUGUUCAGCUCCCGAUAAUCUAUACACAUCCGAUGCGACCCAUCCUUCUUCUUCACAAACAGAAUCGGGGCUCCCCAGGGCGAACUGCUCGGCCGAAUAAAUCCCUUGUCCAGCAGCUCCUGCAGCUGCGUAGACAACUCCUGCAUCUCGGGAGGAGCCAACCGAUACGGUGCUUUGGCUAUCGGAGCCGCACCGGGAACGAGGUCAAUCCUGAACUCCACCUGUCGCUCCGGAGGUAUCCCAGGUAGUUCCUCCGGAAAAACAUCAGCAAAAUCUCGAACCACCGGGACCUCGCUCACGGUCGCCUUACCCGCCUCCCGGGUGUCCAUCACGUACGCGACAUAACCCGCGCAUCCCUGCUGAAGGUAGCGCCUAGCCCUCGCUGCUGAACAUACAGUGGGUCCACACUGCGGCCGCUCUCCAUGAAUCACUAACUCUCCCCCGCUUGGGGUCUUGACUCGCACUAGCUGCUGUGCGCAAUCUAUCACUGCCCCAUUAGGGCUCAACCAAUCCAUACCAAUAAUCACCUUGUUCCCACGCAAUGGAAUGGGAACCAAGUCUACCAGGUAACACUCCUCAAACAGUCGCAGGACACAAUCUCGAAACACCAUCGAUGCUCGCACCGAUCGAUCAUCGGCAAUCUCUACCUCUAACGGGCAAUCUAACUCGCCUGAAGUCUCAUGAAAUCUCUUGCUAAGAGCAAGAGAAACGAACGAUCGGGAUGCACCCGAGUCGAACAAUACCUGAACCGGGAUGCCGUUCACAUGGAACGAUCCUAAUACACAUGNAUGCAACAUAUAACAACCAUUAUUCAGCUAGGAGUUACGGGCCUUGCCCACACUCGGGAAGAUACGGGCCCUGCCCACACUUCGCUAGCCGGGAGAUACGGGCCUCGCCCACACUUGUGAAGAUACGGGCCCUGCCCACACUUCGCUAUCUGGGAGAUACGGGCCUAGCCCACACUCCGACCUCGGAGAGAUACGGGCCCUGCCCACACUCAACCACUAACCCAUAACAUACAAGUAUCACGCAGACAACAAGUAUAAGCAAUUCUAUCAUAUUAACACAUAUAUCGUACUUAACUACAACAGAGAUACGGGCUCGGCCCACACUCUAGUACUAGCAUCUCGUCUACACGGGUCGGCCUUGGUGCCUUAGACCCGUUCCUACUGGGAAGGAAACUCACCUCGAAAUAGCUGCUGGUCUGUGUGGGAACUGAUCACCUACUACUGCUGCUGCUGCUCCGGAAACCCUCCGGCUGCAAUUCCCACAAUAUACUCAAUCAAACACUGCUCACUGACCUUUGGGUAAAAUGACCAUUUUACCCCUGACCUUGCCCUAAGUCAAAGUCAGAGUCAACUUUCAGUUGACCUCGACUCGCCGAGUUGGCUUUCCAACUCGCCGAGUCCCUACGCAAACGACUGCCCUGAAUCCCGAUCCUACCCGUCGAGUUAGGCGACGACUCGACGGGUUCGCCUUCAUGACCAAUAUUCAAGUCCUUCAUCCUACUCGCCGAGUUGUAUGAACAACUCGUCGAGUUCAUCUUCAUCCGAAGAACACUCAUGCUAAGACUCGCCGAGUUGUAUGAACAACUCGUCGAGUCUGUUCUUGAUCUAAGGAGAUUGCCUUGAACUCGCCGAGUCAGGGCAUUGACUCGCCGAGUACCUCCAUAGAUGGGUUAAGCUUCCGACUCACUGAGUCACACCCUGUGACUCACUGCUCACUCGACACUACAAAAAGGGGACAAACUCGAAGACUCGCGAGCAGACUCGCCGAGUCACAUGAACGACUCGCCGAGUCGUUGCCAUGCACUCCUAAAAUAUACCGAUUUGCUCGAUUCCAGUCCAUGCCAUUCAUAGAUCUGGACU
rnacentral:lncRNA from 1 species